GUAACAGGAAUUAGCUUGCUAAUUUGCUGACGAGCGGCGGACGGGUGAGUAACGCGUAGGAAUCUGCCUGGUAGUGGGGGACAACAUGUGGAAACGCAUGCUAAUACCGCAUACGCCCUACGGGGGAAAGGAGGGGAUCUUCGGACCUUUCGCUAUCAGAUGAGCCUGCGUGAGAUUAGCUAGUUGGUGGGGUAAAGGCUCACCAAGGCGACGAUCUCUAGCUGGUCUGAGAGGAUGAUCAGCCACACUGGGACUGAGACGCGGCCCACACUCCUACUGGAGGCAGCAGUGGGGAAUAUUGCCCAAUGGGCGCAGGACCGAGCCAGCAAUGCCUCGUGAGUGUUGAAUGCUGCGGGGUUAAAAAGCACAU
rnacentral:rRNA from 1 species